UCGCGGCCUGCGCGGCAGAGGGUGGGCGCUCGUGCGCUUUUGGGGUGGCAGGGAAGCCUGGAUCGCUCGCUCCAAGGGCUGAAAAACAGAGGUGGUCGUCCGCGAGGGGGAUUUAAACUCGGGGGAGAUGUAAGACGUUCCCCAUUCCUUAUGCUGGGCGCAGAAUGCGGUUUGGCAUGAAGGCUGAUCCAGCCGAGAGUGACCGAGUUUGGGCGUCUGCGCGCGUUUCCAAGGGUUUUUUUUUCCCCCUUCGCCAGGUGCCAAGCCAGACCUCCCCCCUCCUUCCUGGAUCCCCCAGAUCACGCAAGAGUCUUGCGGGAGGGGAGGAAGAAGAGAGGGGCUAGCUACCCCCGCACCGCCACGUUUUCCUAACCCCGAGUCCCUGUUGGAGAGACCUCCAGCCAGGGCGCGCCUUUGGCAACACUCCAGGCGCUUUCUCUUACGAUUCCCCAAACCAGCAGAGAUACACACCCCCCCAAUUUUCUUCCUUCCUGGACAUAACCUCCAGAUAGUGGCCGGCAGGAAGGGCGCAUAUCCCCCCCCCCAAAUGAAGAGGAGCAGAGAUGCCUACCUGCCAGAGGAGGCGAGCCGGCUGUUCCUUGGGAAUUUAGGCGGCUACUUGAGCGCGGGGUCUCUUUGACAGAAGGGUGGGGUGGGGUGGGGGGCACGGAUCCACGCAGCCUUUUUCUUCCUUCUUGCCUUCUUCUCCGCAUCCCCCAGCUCUGUUCAGCUCAAGACUCUUGCUGGAUAGUCCGUAACUAUCCCUCCCCUUUGCAAAUCUCCCCCCUCGCCUUACCCAAAUUAUGAAUUUUAAAACAGCCCCGCUGUAAACGUCUCUUUCUCUCUCUUUUUCAAGCUUUCCUUUCCCCGUUUUCCUGCUUCCCGCUGCCUGCCUGCCUACCCGCAGCGCCUACCCCGUUCUUUGGCGUCUCGGGACGGCUUACCUGCCGAAAAUCUUCUGUUCUCCACCUGGCCGAGGGUUCCUUUUGUCACGGCUGACUGCCCCUCGAGGGAGGGGGCUUGCCUCGUCUCUCUCCCCCCCCCUUGCUCUCCUCCCUGCUUUAUUUCUGGAUCCCUUUCGCUCCGUUUCUCUUUCUUUCCUCCGUUCACUUUUUUUUUUUUUUUUGGCCGUCCCCAUUUUUUCUUUUUUUCUCUUUUUCUUUUUGCGCGUAAGCGGACGCACUAUUUGACAGGCGAGGGACCGCCUCACUGCGGCGUAGGGAUAUUAGGCACACCGAUUGGGAGUUCAAAUGUCAGCAAGUUUUUUUUUUCCCUCUUUCCCCUCCUCCUCCUCCUCCUCCUCCUCCUCCUCUUCUUUUCUCUCUGUCUCUUUCUCUCUCUCUCUUUCCCCCUCCCCUUCCCUCCCCGCCUUUUUGGGAAAAGGAGGGGAGGCGGAGGUGAGGCGGCGGCGGCGGGGCGGCUGUAUUCCUCCGCAGCUGCUUUCCGCCGCUUGUAAACGGAGCGCCUCCCGGCUCGGGAGUUUUGGAUGGCAUUUGGGCCGAGGGAAACUCCAGAGGAGACAGCUUGCGCUCGCGGGUGCAUGCAGUGCCGGGCGUCUCCCUGCUUCGGGGAGGGCCUGGCCGCCCCCUCCGCCCCGAGAGGGGCCUCGGAGGCGCCUUUCCGCCAGCAGGUGACCUCCCCGGCCGCCCCGCCGAUGGACGGCCGGCUGCUUCGGCCUCUAGGCUGCGCCCCGCUCGCCUUUGCCGUCGGCACCGUCCCGCAGCUCCGCGGCCCGGAUCCCAGCCGGGGCGGCCGCUAAGCGCCGCUGCCUUCCCCUCCGUAGCCCGCCUUCCGCCCCAUGGACGUGGCCGCGGGACCGGAGGCGCUGGAAAACUGCUUGAAUCGCGGCUCGGUGAAUUGCGCCAAGAUGCUGGACGGGAUUAAAAUGGAGGAUCGGCCGCUGCGCUCGGGGCCCGCGACUUUGGGAGUCCUACUGGGGUCCGAUUGUCAACACCAGGCAGUUUGUGAGGGGUGCCAGCGUCCCAUCUCGGACCGCUUCCUGAUGCGUGUCAACGAAUCCUCAUGGCACGAAGAAUGCUUGCAAUGCGCCGUCUGCCAACAGGCGCUAACCACCAGCUGCUACUUCCGAGACCGGAAGCUUUACUGCAAGCAAGACUACCAACAAUUGUUUGCUGCCAAAUGUAGUGGGUGCAUGGAAAAAAUUGCCCCCACGGAGUUCGUCAUGCGGGCGCUGGAGUGCGUUUACCACUUGGGCUGCUUUUGUUGCUGUGUCUGCGAGCGGCAACUGCGAAAAGGGGACGAGUUCGUUUUGAAGGAAGGCCAGCUCCUUUGUAAAAGCGACUACGAGAAGGAGAAAGAUCUGCUCAGCUCCGUCAGUCCGGAUGACUCCGAUUCAGUGAAAAGUGAUGAUGAGGAUGGGGACAUCAAGCCAGCUAAGGGACAAGUGACCCCCGGGAAGGGCGGCGAUGACGGAAAAGACCCAAGAAGACCUAAAAGGCCACGGACAAUCCUCACAACACAGCAGAGAAGAGCGUUCAAGGCCUCCUUCGAAGUAUCUUCCAAGCCGUGUAGGAAGGUGAGGGAGACUCUGGCGGCCGAAACAGGCCUCAGCGUUCGCGUAGUCCAAGUCUGGUUUCAGAACCAAAGAGCGAAGAUGAAAAAACUGGCGCGGCGGCAUCAGCAGCAGCAGGAGCAGCAGAACUCCCAGCGGCUUGGCCAAGAAGUAAUGUCCAACCGGAUGGAAGGGAUAAUGACGUCGUACACACCCCUUGCCCCACCGCAACAACAGAUUGUAGCAAUGGAGCAGAGCACCUACGCCACCGAUCCUUUCCAGCAAGGUCUCACCCCGCCACAAAUGCCAGGUGACCACAUGAAUCCUUAUGGAAACGACUCCAUUUUUCAUGACAUCGACAGUGACACUUCUUUAACGAGUUUGAGUGACUGUUUCUUGGCUUCCUCGGAAGUCAACUCCAUGCAAGCCAGGAUAGGAAACCCCAUUGAUAGGCUGUAUUCUAUGCAGAGUUCCUACUUUGCUUCAUGAAAAGCAACUGGGGUGAACCAGCCGGCUCUUCUGAACUUCUCUCCUGAACCAACGUUGCAAGGGACUCCUUCCAGUUUUCCAGCUGAAAAACAAACAAAACAAAACAAAACAAAAACAAAACUCAUACAGCCAUAUUUUUCUUCUUUUUCUCCAACCUGACGUUGGUCACCUGGGAUGACAGGAGCAUUAAAUUAAUGUCCGAGAAACAGACAGGCAAGGAAUCCUCAGUCAGAAGGACAAAAGGACCACACACAUCACUCUCCCCCCCCAAAAAAAACCCCGAGGUCACCAAGGCUGGGCCAAGAGACUCCGAUCCUUCCUUCUCGAACCCCAUCGUGGUGGAUGCAAACACUUCCCACGUGCAUUGCUUCGAGAUCUCUUUCCACGGUGUGCUGUUUUCUCCAGGCUGCCCACGAUGCAAAGUUGGUCAAGCUGAAGGAAGAAAUUGGAGAGGACUGUUCCAAUUUUGUUCUGCAUGUUUCAUCAGGACCGUGAGACAUUUUGACAGAGCUGUGAUUCCUAGAGGAACAUUUCCUGUCCCCCCCCCCCCACUCGACUUUUCUUUGUCUUUCUUUUCCUCUCCAUCAAACCAAAGGGAAGCCAAAGCGGUCACUUCUGGGGCCAUUAAGUUAUAGUUGCUGCGUUGCCUGGAAAUGGGGGAGUGGGAAUGGAGGAGAGGAAGGGGAAAAAAAAAACCCUGGAAAAUAAUAUAAGGCAAAAUCAGGCCACGUCGUCAUAAUUAUGAUGUUUCUUGGAGAGGAAGAGAAAGAGUUAACAAAAAAAAGACGCCAAACAGGGGAGGCAAAUUUAGACGAGCCGUCAGCACAACUUUACCUGAAAAAGCAAUUUUAUAAAAAGUAGGGCGAGAGACAUUCUGGAGCACCCGAAUUUAUUGCAGGUUGUUCGCCAUUCUGGGUGUGUUAAAACAUUUUUUAAAAACAAAAACAAAAAACAAAACGGUGAAAUAAUUCAGUGUCAAAUUUGAUGUCUUCACCCCUAGCUCUACUAGCCUUGAUUGACAGUCAUCUGUUGGUGGUUCCCAUUUGUUUAUACUGAUUUGACAGCGAUACCCCACAGUUCCUUGCUGCAGGACGCAUUAAUCAGAGACGGCUUUCAUUUGGAUCUUUUUUCCUCAAUUGGGGGGGGACCCUUUUCCUCUCCUACCUCCCCUUAUCCUUCAUAUAAUUGCAAACUGCAAGCAGUGAUGGUGCUCUGUAGCCUUUUACCCUUAGUGGACGCUUAUUCCAAAGCAGUUCAGCUAUUCCCAAUGCACGUGGACCAGUUGCUAGUAGAAAUUAAGCCUUGUCAGAUGUGAAGAUGUGAAUCACGUUUUAUGGUGCUUACCACUAAGAAAGUCCAGGAAAUUCCACAUUUUGUGACUAGUUAGAUCACAUGGUAAGCUAACAUGGGGUCUUUACCAAGUUUCUGGGGGUCCUGCUCCAAAAAGGGGAUGGAUCUGGGGCUCUGGUUUGAUUUUAUUUAAAUUUUAUUUAAAAGAAACAAGUUAGUGGAUUAAAUAUCAUGGCUUCCCAUAUAUUUUGCGUUUCACAACUUCUGCCAUGUUAAAAUUGCAGUGGGUGAAAGCUUGAGCAGAAGGCCAUCAUCAAGUCUUUGCGGUCUUCCAGACUAUUCUGGGUCUACCAGUUUUCCAUCACUGCAUUGUUCUUUGUUCCCCAAACUGAGUUCCAGAUGUUUUGGUCUACAUAUCCCAGCAACCUCAGGUAGCUUAGUCCAAGCUCCCACCAGGUGUGACGGACCUCAAAUUCCAUGCUUUGAUUUUAUUAUAUCUUUUAUUAUCUAUUGUUGGGAAACAUAAACUGGAGACUACUCUUGACCUCAUGGCUUGCUUAUGGAUUUCUAGAACUAUCUGCUCAGCUCCCUUGGGGAUAGACUAGAUGGCCCCCAAGUUCUGCAGAACUUUGAUGGAAUGUGGGGUUUUUUUUAUGUUCAUAAAACAAGUUGGCAAAGUAGAGAUUAGCUUCACCUUGAGCUGAUCAGCCUUUGUCAACUGGGAGGCUGUCAAGAUGUGUGGAUCUUAACUCCUAGGGUCCUCCAAUUAGGAUAGCCAUUGCUGAGUGUUGAAUUCCACACACCUUCAUGGUAUCCGGAUCCGAGAAAGGCUGAAUUAGGGGAAAACAGAGUUUAGUUGCUGAAAUUUCGUAGCCAAUAUAGCCAUUGCUGAGAACGUUGGGAAUCAAGAUCCGGAGGUCUCAAGCACUUCCAGGUUGUUGAAAGCUGACUUAGAGACUUAUUUUGAGUAUUUGUUGGCAAGUUCAGUGCGCAAGCUAUAGAAAGGCUAUACAAGCCAUUAUCCUCUUAUUGUCUGUCUCUUCUUUUAGGGUCAUUUUAGAUUGAUGGUAGCCACACGUUUUUGAAAGCAGAAGAAUUCGAGGAAUAAGAUUCACAGUGUCUUGAAAUUGCUGCCUACAUCAACUGCCUUCUUAAAUGACUUCAGGCACCUUGUAGGAUCCGGAACCCGUUCAGAUCAGCCUAUCAACCCUUCAGGAUCUCUGCUUUGAACAUUUUAUCCUUGUACUUGGCUCGUGCAUCCCCUGCCUCACGCAAACCGAGCGGAAAAGAUCUGUGACAACUUGCUUUUUGGAAGGCCAACUCCAUGUGCAUGACAACACUCUGUGCAAAGCGUGUGUUCGAACAGUCUCUUUGGAUAAAAGUCGUAGGUAGGCUUCUGUGAAACGAGGAGGGUGAGGCUCAAGUCUUCGUACGGAGCACUGCAAGCAAUCCAGCUGGUCUCCAUGCCAGUGUGCACAGUUGUGUGAAGCUGUGGGACAGGUUCGAAUUGGGUGAGCGAAAAGAAAUCUUGGCAGAUUGGAUCCAACGGGAGCAUUUCAACAAAUUCUCCCUGACUUGAAACGUAUCUUCAGGAACAUGCCUGUCUGCCUCUAGUGAACAGUGCGUUCUGGGUCCUGAAGUGUUGCAGGUGGAACCUGUGUGUCUUAGGAAAAGAUUCAUAUGGAAAUGUGUACCUUAAAGAAAGAUGCCAUCAUACAUGACCAAUUCAGAAGUGGAUGAAAAUCGGUGUAGGGAUGGUGCCGGAUUUGGUCAAUCACAUCGUUGGCCUUUUUUUUUUAAUUGCUCAGAAUUUUUUUUUUUUUUAAAUGGUUUAUUCUAUUCUGAAAGGAAGGAACGCUUGGAUUGGACUGGACUGGGUCUGUUUCCAAAAUAAAUUCUCCUCCCAGAUGCUGAUUUUGUCAAAGAUCCUGUAGCGCAGUUGUAUAUUCAAAUCAGGGUAUUGCGAGGAAGAAAGAAGGGGAAGAAACAGAAACACAGCCUGAAGAAUAAUCAGAAUUAUUUGAAUUCGUCACCGUUUAUCCUUUUUUUCCCAAAAGGAAGUGACUGCUUCUACAAAUAUUUUCCUUGAGGACCUACGAUGAUGAAGAAAAAAAGACAUGGAUCUGAAUAUUUCAAAUUGAUGGACCUUUUCUUCUCACAACUGCAAAGGAGCUAUCUAAUCUUCUUCAGAUGAUUGGGACUCAGACCGAUGGGAUUCGAAGUCCCAAAUGUCUAGAAAAUAGCUCGGAAAUCCUUGCAAGUUUCGUUUCUUGACGCUAAAUCCCGAAAUGAUGGAGAAAAGCAGAAAGGGGGAACCAAGUUUAAAGAAGCUUGGAAAAAGAACUAAUUUGCAAAACGGUAACGUGAGAACGAAAAGAAAACCUCCACACAGUUUCUUCAGCAUAAUCAGCAGGGUGCUAUUAAAGUCUUCUUACCUGGUUCAGAGGACAAACCAAAAUGUUUCUUAAUUCUCUAUACGCAUUCCCAGGCAGUG